AAUUCAGUCUCAUGGCCAGAUGUAUUGCCUGUUAGUCUUUCACAUCUCUUAUAUCAAGGAUGUGCCUUAUUUUAGAGAGGAGGCGGAGGGUGCUGCUUUCUUUGUUUUUAUUUCCCUGCCUCACAACGCAAUCUCUAUGGCAGUUUGGAUAUUCAAAUACAAAAUAUAUACUUAAUUGCCUUCAGAACAAAAGCCAAACAAUGUUAUUCUCACAUUCCAUUACAGUAUUUCAGUGGAAGAAGAAUAAAUUUAUUCUCUAUAUAUAUAUACCGGUACACAUCUGGAACAACCCGAAUACCUCGUGGUGAGAGCUAUUAUACCCAGGAGGAGGGGCUAGGAGAUCCCAUUCACAGUCACUCAUAUCCGGGUCACCUCCCCAUUGCUAUGUACCAGUGGUGGGUUGCCCCCUGUUCGGACCGGUUCGCAAGAACCGGUAGUAAAAC